UUUUAUGGAGAGUUUGAUCCUGGCUCAGGAUGAACGCUGGCGGCGUGCCUAAUACAUGCAAGUCGAGCGAACGGACGAGAAGCUUGCUUCUCUGAUGUUAGCGGCGGACGGGUGAGUAACACGUGGAUAACCUACCUAUAAGACUGGGAUAACUUCGGGAAACCGGAGCUAAUACCGGAUAAUAUUUUGAACCGCAUGGUUCAAAAGUGAAAGACGGUCUUGCUGUCACUUAUAGAUGGAUCCGCGCUGCAUUAGCUAGUUGGUAAGGUAACGGCUUACCAAGGCAACGAUGCAUAGCCGACCUGAGAGGGUGAUCGGCCACACUGGAACUGAGACACGGUCCAGACUCCUACGGGAGGCAGCAGUAGGGAAUCUUCCGCAAUGGGCGAAAGCCUGACGGAGCAACGCCGCGUGAGUGAUGAAGGUCUUCGGAUCGUAAAACUCUGUUAUUAGGGAAGAACAUAUGUGUAAGUAACUGUGCACAUCUUGACGGUACCUAAUCAGAAAGCCACGGCUAACUACGUGCCAGCAGCCGCGGUAAUACGUAGGUGGCAAGCGUUAUCCGGAAUUAUUGGGCGUAAAGCGCGCGUAGGCGGUUUUUUAAGUCUGAUGUGAAAGCCCACGGCUCAACCGUGGAGGGUCAUUGGAAACUGGAAAACUUGAGUGCAGAAGAGGAAAGKGGAAUUCCAUGUGUAGCGGUGAAAUGCGCAGAGAUAUGGAGGAACACCAGUGGCGAAGGCGACUUUCUGGUCUGUAACUGACGCUGAUGUGCGAAAGCGUGGGGAUCAAACAGGAUUAGAUACCCUGGUAGUCCACGCCGUAAACGAUGAGUGCUAAGUGUUAGGGGGUUUCCGCCCCUUAGUGCUGCAGCUAACGCAUUAAGCACUCCGCCUGGGGAGUACGACCGCAAGGUUGAAACUCAAAGGAAUUGACGGGGACCCGCACAAGCGGUGGAGCAUGUGGUUUAAUUCGAAGCAACGCGAAGAACCUUACCAAAUCUUGACAUCCUUUGACAACUCUAGAGAUAGAGCCUUCCCCUUCGGGGGACAAAGUGACAGGUGGUGCAUGGUUGUCGUCAGCUCGUGUCGUGAGAUGUUGGGUUAAGUCCCGCAACGAGCGCAACCCUUAAGCUUAGUUGCCAUCAUUAAGUUGGGCACUCUAAGUUGACUGCCGGUGACAAACCGGAGGAAGGUGGGGAUGACGUCAAAUCAUCAUGCCCCUUAUGAUUUGGGCUACACACGUGCUACAAUGGACAAUACAAAGGGCAGCGAAACCGCGAGGUCAAGCAAAUCCCAUAAAGUUGUUCUCAGUUCGGAUUGUAGUCUGCAACUCGACUACAUGAAGCUGGAAUCGCUAGUAAUCGUAGAUCAGCAUGCUACGGUGAAUACGUUCCCGGGUCUUGUACACACCGCCCGUCACACCACGAGAGUUUGUAACACCCGAAGCCGGUGGAGUAACCUUUUAGGAGCUAGCCGUCGAAGGUGGGACAAAUGAUUGGGGUGAAGUCGUAACAAGGUAGCCGUAUCGGAAGGUGCGGCUGGAUCACCUCCUUUCUAA
rnacentral:rRNA from 1 species